CUCACUGUGUCGCUACCUGGGAUAAUCUUAAGAGUAUAGUCAUCGACUGCAAGGCCUGAUCUAAAUUGAACGUUGACCACUUCCAAGCUGUGAUAUCAACUGUACGCGUUGACCAUGGAUGAAAGGGGGCCUGAUCAUGCUCCCACGACGCCAAGAGAUCACGAUAGGCCGGAGCCAAGUGAUGAUACUCCCUCCACACAGACUCCAGAUGCAUCUGAACCAUCCGCAUCUGGUAGUGACGGUAGCAUUACGAACCAACCUUCACUCCACUUGGUCAAUUGUCCUAUCAUUUUGGGUGAUUGCUUGGACACACAAUUUAAAUAUGGUGAUUCUCAGACAACUGUCGUCCGGCCAGCUGUACCUGGCGAGUGGCCGACUGAGAUGCAGUAUGAGUACAAUCGCCCUGACGGUCGGACUGGCAAGGAAACCAAAUUUAAAU